AGUUUGAUCAUGGCUCAGAUUGAACGCUGGCGGAAUGCUUUACACAUGCAAGUCGAGCGGCAGCGCGGGGGCAACCCUGGCGGCGAGCGGCGAACGGGUGAGUAACAUAUCGGAACGUACCCAGUCGUGGGGGAUAACUAUCCGAAAGGAUAGCUAAUACCGCAUACGUCCUGAGGGAGAAAGCGGGGGAUCGCAAGACCUCGCGCGAUUGGAGCGGCCGAUAUCGGAUUAGCUAGUUGGUGGGGUAAAGGCUCACCAAGGCGACGAUCCGUAGCGGGUCUGAGAGGACGACCCGCCACACUGGAACUGAGACACGGUCCAGACUCCUACGGGAGGCAGCAGUGGGGAAUUUUGGACAAUGGGGGCAACCCUGAUCCAGCCAUUCCGCGUGAGUGAAGAAGGCCUUCGGGUUGUAAAGCUCUUUCAGCAGGAACGAAACGGUGGUCCCUAAUACGGACUACUAAUGACGGUACCUGAAGAAGAAGCACCGGCUAACUACGUG
rnacentral:rRNA from 1 species